AACGAACGCUGGCGGCGUGCUUAACACAUGCAAGUCGAACGGCACCGCCCGGCUUUUGGGCGCUGGUCGGCGUGAGCCCUGGGGAGCAACCCGUGGGUUACCUACCACUCCCCGUAGGGUGACCUCAGGCCGGUUAGGCUAUUCCCGCCUAGGAUCUCCCGCUGCUUGGUGGGGGCUCGUAGGUUUAGCCGGUUGGUGAUGGACUCGCGGCCUAUCAGCUUGUUGGUUGGGUAGUGGCUUACCAAGGCUUUGCCGGGUGGCCGGCCUGAGAGGGUGACCUGCCACAUUGGGACUGAGAUACGGCCCGGACUAGUACGGGACGCAGCAGUGGGGAAGAUAGCACAAUGGGCGGGAGCCUGAUGCAGCAACGCCGCGCGCGGGAUGACGGCCUGCGGGUAGUGAACCGCUUUCGCCUGUGCCGGGGCGUGAGUGACGGUACUGGGUAAAUAAGCACCGGCUAACUACGUG
rnacentral:rRNA from 1 species